rnacentral:rRNA from 1 species
CAGACUGCAGGCUGCAACCCGCCUGCACGAAGUUGGAAUCGCUAGUAAUCGCGGAUCAGCAUGCCGCGGUGAAUACGUUCCCGGGCCUUGUACACACCGCCCGUCACACCAUGAGAGUCGGGAACACCCGAAGUCCGUAGUCUGACCGCAAGGGGGGCGCGGCCGAAGGUGGGUUCGAUAAUUGGGGUGAAGUCGUAACAAGGUAUC